rnacentral:rRNA from 1 species
UGCAGAGGUCUCAAGCGUUGUUCGGAUUCAUUGGGCGUAAAGGGUGCGUAGGCGGCGCGGUAAGUCGGGUGUGAAAUCUUGGAGCUUAACUCCGAAACUGCAUUCGAUACUGCCGUGCUUGAGGACUGGAGAGGAGACUGGAAUUUACGGUGUAGCGGUGAAAUGCGUAGAUAUCGUAAGGAAGACCAGUGGCGAAGGCGGGUCUCUGGACAGUUCCUGACGCUGAGACACGAAGGCCAGGGGAGCAAACGAG